rnacentral:misc_RNA from 1 species
GGCCUAGCAGCAGUUUCAAUUUGAGCCCCAUUGACACGUUCAAAUUCAUUCUUCAAGUCUUCAAGGUAUUGAAAGGCAAGUUUUUUUGGAUAAGCACGAUCACACAUAGUCAAAUAACAGACCCUUCCUUCAAUUAUAUAGUGAAAAACAUAUGGGCCUGUCUCGAUAGACAUUCUUGAAGCCUCAUUUUGACCUCUCGAUAAGUUCUUAAACAGAGCCUUCACUUGCUGCUUGUAGAAUUCUGCAUCUUGCAUAUCAC